CUAGCGACUUCAGAGUUUGAUCCUGGCUCAGGAUGAACGCUAGCUACAGGCUUAACACAUGCAAGUCGAGGGGUCUUGACGGAGCUUGCUCCUGAUAGACGACCGGCGCACGGGUGAGUAACGCGUAUCCAACCUGCCCUUCAUAUUGGGAUAGCCUUCCGAAAGGGAGAUUAAUACCGAAUAACAUAUCAAGAUUGCAUGAUAUUGAUAUGAAAGAUCCGUCGAUGAAGGAUGGGGAUGCGUUUCAUUAGGUAGUAGGCGGGGUAACGGCCCACCUAGCCAACGAUGAAUAGGGGUUCUGAGAGGAAGGUCCCCCCACACUGGAACUGAGACACGGUCCAG
rnacentral:rRNA from 1 species